UUCCCUGUGGCUCAGUUGGUAGAGCAUGGUGUUUGCACACACCAUGCUGGCAUUGCAACGCCAGGGUUGUGGGUUCGAUUCCCAUGGGGGGGG
rnacentral:tRNA from 1 species